rfam:Echinops telfairi cont1.246168, whole genome shotgun sequence.
GGUGAAAAUGAUGAAUUCUGGGUCUCUGAGUCAUGUGACCUGAAAAAGGCCAUCCAUUUCCUGAUUCACC